GGCAAGGUCGCGUAAAGAUGAAAAGUUGGCUAGCGAUUUUAAAAACGUCUACACAUUGCUUGCUUGUUGUUUACUUCCAUUUACAUGUCUCGAGGAUGUCAAUUUGAACGAGGGACUAUCAAACUAGCUUCCUUUCGCUACCCCUAGUGAUCUUCGCAUUAUGGCGCGCACGUAUCCUUCUCAGCCUGUGUGGGCGAUGGAAUAAACUGAUGCUCAGUGAUGGAAUAGAGUGUCCAGGAACUUUGAGUUCAACAUCAUAUCGGGAUAAUGGGGAAGUAACGACUACAUCUUGCACAAGCUCUGGGUGAUGGAGUCAACUGAAAACCAGGAAGCUUCUUUUGUUCCAGAGGAAAAGCAUGAAUAAAACCAGAUCUGUUUAAAGGCAUACUACGCAGGGUUUUUUUUAAAGCCUGCCGUCCUAUGGUUACAAUAAAAAUUCUUCUCUUCCAUCUUCAUCCUGAGUACCCAACUUCAGCCAUCUACUUUCCCCAUCUAGCUACCCAGAUAGCUAGAAGUAACGUUAUUUACUGGUCCAACAGAAAACAGGAUAACUCUGUGUCACUUUUCAUCCCCGUUGUGAACUUCAGCUGUCACCAUGGAGCAAUUUCAAUGUUGACUCUGGUUUUUGAACGUGUCCUGUCGGCUUGCCGUUUCACUUUGCUGUAGGUUACUUGUGUUUCUUAAAGUCAGCCAUUGCAUUGCUAGCUACAAAUGUUCUGCUGAAACCUGAUUCCACCCCACAGGCUCUGUAUCCACACCCUCCCCUCACCACACAGAAAAGAAAGUCACAUAAAGAUCCCAAACACAUUUUACAUGAAAUAUAGGCAGAGGAGCAUGGAUUUGGCAAACAGAGCUGUCAAUGAACUGCAACUAAUUCAAAACUGUGCUUGAUCCUUGACCCAUACAAAACCACUUAACCACAUCAGUGCAGUUCUUCACAAGCUCCACUGUCUCCCAGUUAAAUUCUGAAUUCAAUUCAAAAUCCCCCUCUUACAUACAAAGCCUUCCACAACCUAGCUCCCACCUAUCUCUUUGACUUUCUCCUGGCCUGCUUACCACCCCCUCCUCACGCCUGACCUCAUUUGGUAAUCAAGCAUUUAGCUGUGUUGCAACAAAUUUUGGAACUUCCUCUUCACAUUCUCUCCUCUGACUCAUUCUUCAUUCAAAAAACAGCUGACUCUUCAUUUAAAAAAAUAGACUGAAGGGGAACAAAUGAAGGUGAAAGUAUUUAUUUGUUUGUAGUAUAACUCAUUAAGGAAGCUAAUUGUGCACAUUCUUUUAUCUCUUCCAUGUGAUAUACAUUGAGCUCUAUAAUGUUUGGGACAAAGUCAUAUUUUUUCUUGAUUUGGCUCUAUGCUACAAAUUUUGGCUCUAUGCU